rnacentral:lncRNA from 1 species
UCUUUUGUGGUAUUUCUGGAUCCUUUCCGAGGCAGUAAUGGUAUAUGCCUUCUCUCAAAAUAUGUGGUAUUUUUGGUAUAAUGCAUAGUGAUAUUGCCUUCUCUCUCACCCUACCCUAAUAAGGUUUUGAUAUCUGGAGCUCAUAGGUGGGAGACAGCUAAUACAUACUUACAAGACAUUUAUUGCAUAGUCAAACCAUGGAUCCAGAGAAACAAGUCAAUAAGUCAAAUCAAGAUGUGUAUGUGUGGCGAAUGAAUGGUGUAUGGUGAUGAUGGUGAUAAUAAUGGUGAAAGUCUAAUUGUACUUUUGCUCUUUUGAGGGGAUACAUACCUUUCUUGCACUUUGAAGCUUUUUGAGGAUAAUGAGAUGCUCUGUAUUUUCUUUUUCUUUUUCUUUCAGGUGGGUAUCUUGUACCCCUAAUUCUACUGUCGGACACUUGUCCAUUUUUACCUCUUGUCUCACUUUUUCUUUUCUUUCGAUGUUCCGGGCACUUGCCCCUUUUUAUUUCCUCGUAUUUUUCCUCUCUCUUUCUUUUUUUUAGAGCACUCAUCUCCUUAAAUAAUAUAGCAAGUAGUAGUAACCAAGAUAACUCGAGCAUUUAUUUCACAGGGAAUAACAGGGAUAGGAAAAUAUUUCUGGCUAUUCUCUCCCGGAUUAGGAGUAGAAUAAUUUGGGUGGUUCUGGAGAUGGAAAUGAGUGGAUAUAUGUGGAUGGUACUUCCGGAGUAGAAGUAGCAUGUAUGAGUGAACGUGCAAGUGAAUCUUGAUUUUAACCGCAUGACAAGCUCCUUAGGGUCUACACAGCUUGACCACACUCAAUGCUCAUAAGCAGUAAAAAGUAAAUGUGUGGCUCAAAGUCUAAUAAGCAUGUAUAUAUGGCUGUGGUAGGAUUUUAAACUCUCAUCAUACAGGAACUCAUCAUGUGUUAUUUUAAAGAUCUUUUUCAAAGAUAAAAUUCUCCAGAAUUCUAGCAUUUCUAGGAACAGAUAAACAGCAGGUCAACCUUCCCAUAUCAUAUCCGUUAACGACUUAGACUUUAGAUCAAGUACUCUUCCCACAAGUUCAGGUUUAGAGCAAAUCUUACUUCAUAACAGUCAUGCCUAAACUUGAGAGAGAUUUCAAUUUUAAGAACUAGGUACAUGGCAAAGCAACUAUUUAUCAUUUCCAUAUGAGAGCUUAUCAUGAAGGUUGGUAGCAAACUUUAUUUAUUUAUUUAUUUAGCAAACUAAGCAAAGAUAUAUAUAUAUAUAUAAGCAUAAAAUCUUUAUUUGGGUUUUCAUGAUUAUGCAUCUUUUUAUUAUUUGAGUAAAGUAUAAACGCGAGUAGAAACACUUAGCUGGAUAAAUGGGGGUGCUUUCCCCCAAGCUGGAUUUUGAUGUAAUUUCUUCUGAUGUAGCUAGCAGGUGAUGGAGGUGUAUUUGAAAGUCGGCAGCACCCUGACAGCGAUUAGGAUGUCCUCCGUCAGCUAGUCUUCUUGAUUCUUAAAUUCUGUAGAGCUCAAAUAGAGAACAAAGCUUUGUGGAACUGGUCAAGUGUUAGCAUAAAUAUCUAGCCUUUAUCAUGUUGAGCCUCCUCAAUAAAUAUUACUUAUUUAGCAGGAUCAUGCACUUAUUAUUUUUAUAUUUUUAUUGUAAGAUGAAAACUUAUUUAUUUUAUUUUUAUGCCACCACAGUGAAUGUACUUAUGGGUUUUAUGCCAUGAGCAUACUCACAUGGGGCUUACUAUUUUUUUAACAUUUUUAUUUUCUUUUCAAGAUAACAUGAACCUGAUUAACUAAGCAAACUAUUGAAUGGAAAAGGAUAACUACCAAGUUUACCUCUUGGCAGGGCGUUCGGUAUUUUUAAGUCCUCCGAAUGGGACUUUCCGUUUUCUCAGUCAUCCUGGGAUUCGCUUGGUGGCGUAGUCGGUGGUUCCGGCGGCGCCUCCUCUUCGUGUAUAACUAUCUUCUCCCUCCACACCUGACUCGGUGCUACAGUCUCCUCAGGACAGUUCUGUUCAAGCUGUAUGUCUUCAGUCCUGAUCACUUCUCCUUCGUAGUCUACCCAUCCGUUCUUGAUGAUUUGCCUCCUCUGGUUGCGGUUGCGUCGUCUUCUUGUCCUGACCUGCUUAGAGUCUUCAACUAUAUAGUUAGAAUCAUUAAAGUAGUGGCGUACCUUCUCAGAGGGGAAGUGCAUGUGGACUUCUCCGGUUCCACUAUAGAUGAUGGCUUUGAUAGUGUUUGAGGAACGGUCUUCCAAGGAUGGUGGGUGGAUCUUACUCGUCUUCUCCCAUGUUAAUGACCUGAAAGUCAUCUGGAGCUAAAUGUAUAUUGGUUGUAGGGGCAUGGUUCCAUGCAGGAGCUGAUAAGUGACUGCGGUCAUUAUGUUGUCGUCAGAUCCGGUGUCGUAGAGUGUCUUCUGAAAAAAGUAUCCAUUGAUUGUGCACUCGAUGCUUGGAACACCAAGGUCGUCCUUCUUGAUCAAGAAAGGUGACUUGAGUCGACGAUCUUGACCUCCUUGAGCUGCAGUGACCAUCUUAGCUGACUCGGUCCACAUUUGCUUGUUCUUGUUCCUCCUGUUGGUCCUCUUCCUCGGUUCAUGUCGGGAUUGCUCUGAAAUUUGUGUAGUCUUGUUGUUGAAGGAAAGUCUCCUUCUCCCCUUGAUGUAGAAACGGAUCUUGGCAGCAUUAGCGUAGAUGACAGCUCUGGUGUUUAGGAAUGGCCUCCCUAAGAUGAUGGGUGCCCUCUCCUCAGUACCAGUCUCUAUCACCACGAAGUUUGCUAGAGCGUACAAGGUACCAACUCGAACACAGAGGUUCUUCAAUAUUUCCUUUGGGAAACUAAGUGUCUGAUCUCCAUUGUGUUUGUGCUCGUAGAUCCCGGUUCUUGACUUGGUGGAAUUUGGGAGUUGUAAAACUCCUCCAUGUUUUGUUUGAAGUGUACCUAUUUGUAGAGACAAGGCAGAGAUCAAGUGCAUGGGCCCUGUUGGUGCAAAACACCAACAGAACCAAAAGUGUAUUUGUUCUUUUCCAACCUUAAGCAUAGUGAGCAAGACAAAGUUGAUGGAUCAUGAGUGUAGCAUUUAAAACAUUUGUUAGAUCAGAUGGCUCAACCUAAUGGAAAGAUAAUCUAUCUAUAUUUAUGUUUUGUUUAUAUCUUCCAAAGAUUGAAUGCGCAACGUUUUAGCUUAUAUGAUUAGGAGUGUGGGAUCACAACGGUAGUACGUAAGAACAAAGAUUAAAGGACUAAACAUGUUGAAUUAAUUGGGUUGAUUAAUUUGGAGCUACAAAUCAUACAUGUUUGUCUCUUUAUUUUAUGUGAAUGCCAGAACCAAGGAGAAGCUUAUAAAAGUGUUAGUCAAGUACCUUAAGAUGUUACCUUACUUGAAGAGUGAUGGUACAGUAUCACCUUGUGGAAGCUUUCCUUUCUUAGCGGUUGUGCACGUGUUUGUGGCACCCUCUAUGAAUCAUCUCCUAUGAGCUACGUCUUUCUUCUGCAAAUUGUUAAACUUCAUGUGUCACCUUUAUCUCCAAUGAGUUUGUAUCUCAGGACUUCCCAGGUUGAUAUUGAAAGUUUUCCUGCAGGGGUUAGUCCGACAAAAUAUACCAUUGCCUACUCAAGCAGUUUUUAGUUCAGUAACCAAACUAGACUCCAUGUCUAAUCAGAUUAAGGAAGGCUAUUUAACCUAAGCACCACGCUUAAUUUAAAUGCCAAUGGAAGUAUGUACAGUACUUCCAAACUACACUUACUAGGAUAAACAAAGGUAGCAUGAUGGCUUAUAGAGAUCUACUUAAGUGGAGAUGAAGUAGUGUGAUUAGCAUUUAACAAAUUGAGCAUGUCUCAAAGGUAGGGACAACAUAGCAACAUGGCAAAGGAUGUUUUUAUGUAAAGUACUCCCCCAAGCUUGAAUUUUGCAAAAUUCAAGUUUGGAUGAAUUUAAUUCAAUGUUGUGUGAUGGUUGGUUGGACAUACCUUGUGCUUGUCAUUCAUCCGAUCUUCUUGCUCCAAUCCUGGAAAGGUUAGUGGCAAGAAUACCCGAAGGAAUAUUUCUACAAUUAUCUUAUAUGCUCAAUACAUAAGGCAAUGUUGCAAAUAAUUAGAAGUUCAUGUUAUGAUCUGAUCAGUGCGAAUUAAGCAAUGGUUUAGGACACUAAGCAAAUAAUUAAGCAAAUAAUUAGAAGUGCUUGUUUUAGGACACUAAGCUUGUCCUUGGGAAACCAUCAAUCAACUCAACGAGAUCUGCAAUAUUUAUUAUAGACAUAUGCAUCGACAACCGCUCUUUUAAAGUUGUUAUAAAUAGAAAAGAAGAGAGGGUUGGAGAUCUCAAAUGUGGUAAGGAUGGAGAGACCAACUGAUUGGGGAGAUGUUUUAUAUGAGCAAGGACUUGGUAAGAUAUUUAUGAAAUAACUUCCAUGCUCACUGUUGUUUCUCCCAUUCUCAAACUCCAAGGUUGAUUCUUCAUGAAUGCUUAAAAUUCCUCUAGGAUUGUCUCUCAAGUUUGUUUUAUCCAUCCAUUCAAUGGUGAUAGCACAUGGAUUUUUAAUGCCCUCUAGCCAUCGAUGUUGCUCUUCUCGAUCCUCCUUGUAGUCUUGGUGACUCUUAUGAAUGGGAUGUCUAGAUAGAUUCAUAGGAUUAUCGGGAGGUUCAAGAGAAAGAGCUAAGUAGAAAUUAUUAGGCUCAAGGAUGGGUUUGAUAGCCGAAUCAUGGGAUUGAAGUGUUUGGAAAUCGACUAUUGAAACUUCCUCUCCUUGUAUGGGAGAUGAUUCCUUCUCUAUCUCUAAGAUUUUUCAAUGAAGACUAGUACAAGAAGGAUGUCCACAAAUGAAGACAUACCUUCCUUUACUAACAGAUAAAAGUAGAAAAACUCUACCAAAGGUUAUAUGAUUAAGACCAAUGUGAAAAUAUCUAGAAAAAACAUGGUCUUGUAGGGCUAGGUCUAAACCAGAAUUUAUAGAAAGAUUAAAAGAUUCCCUAGGUGUAGCUAAAAGUGCAUUAUCUUCUUGAUUAAAAGAUAGGACCUCAGCUAUAGAAAAGGGUUGGUUUUGACCUAUUGCAAUCAACUCCGGACACAGAUCAUAAUUAGGGGCAGGACGUGUUGACUCCCAUGGUCUAUGGCUGGUCUCCAAAGGUGCAAGGAAUUCAAUAAUAGGUAUGGAAUUUGAGUUAUCCAUAAAAAUAAAAAUAAAAAGAUAAAAGAAUAAAUGUAUAAAAGUAUAAUACAAGAUAAUAGCAAGACUCAAAGUUAUCUCAGCAAACCGUCUUUCUCCCCGGCAACGGCGCUAGAAAUGCUUGUUGAUAUUUGGUAACGCAAUUAGAAAAUUAUCCGCAAGCGCACGGAUAUCGGUGAGCAUUUCACCCGGGAGGUUUUCCAGAGUAUCGUAUUUAUAUUUUUACCACUGGGAGAAAGGGUGCAUCUGACUAACCAAAUCUAUUGCUACUACCCCUUUAGGCUACAAAGAAUGUUUCUCGAUGUGAGUGAUGUAUAGAGAAGACUGCAACCGUAGUCUCGUUCUAACCUUGGUAAGGAUGAUCUACUGUUCUAUUGGGGAGGCUCACGGAAUAUAGCCAACACAAAGGAUGUUCGACCCGCACCUAUAAACCUACCCGUCCUGCUAACGAGAUAUGGGAUACAAAGGUAACUCGGAAAUGUCACGUUCCUCGCUACUACCACGGUCCAGCUAGUCAGGGGAUAUCUAUGAGUACUCUAGCCUAAACACCACGUUUAUGCUAGCAAGUGAUUACUCUAAUACUCAACCGGAAGAGGAUUAAAGUAAACUCAUAAACCAAAGAACAAUAAAACAAGAAGUUACUAGAAUUAGAAGUCGAAUUACUGAAGAAUCCUAGGAGCAAGCCUCGGGUUAGGAGACUUGAUCCCGCAGGUACAACUCGGAGUAGUCACCGACAGGCCGGCUUCCUCCGAUCUACACCUCCACUCUAUCUCUCUCAAUCUAGUAGAAACUAGAAGAUCUAUUUCUAAUUUACAUUGGUUGCUAAGCCUAAAAAGAAAUAUUAUAGAGAAGAGGUUUUCCUUCGAGGGCACCCCUCAAUCUCUAUGAUAAUUUUUUGUCUUCUCCAGGGGCCAGGGGCCUUGCUUAUAUAGUCCUCCUUUGUGCGUUUUUGGUUCAGCAGGCGAUGUGGUACUAAACUUUCCACCAUAUCUCAUUAAAAUGCACAUAGGCCUUAAUAGACCAAAAUCUGAUUUGGGCCCAAUUAAUCCCGCAGCUCUUUUAUGUGGAGUUCUUCUUUUAUUAAUAUCUCUUGAUUCCGAACUCCAAAUAUAGCAAAUAAUAUAUGCAUUUCGAUCAGCUCGACAAGAUCUUUGCAAUGUUGUACUCCAUUCUGUGAUUGGCGGAAACACCUGGGCGGGCGCCCAAGGGGAGAGGGCGGGCACCCUGCCCCCGGGCCCAUUCGGCCUCCCGUUCGUUCUCGUGGUUUCUGGACUCUUCUAGAUGAUAGAAAAUUGCGCGGCACGUUAAUAUCUCUGUGUAAUCCUGACAUGUGGGCCUUUCUUCCUUAUUUCUUGAUAACCCCCUGCAGAAAUAGACAAACACCAAAACUCAUGGAAUCCUGUCAGAUAAAACCCUAAGUCUAGGUGUUGGUUACAUUUGGAUCUUUUUUUUUAUUUGAUGAUUAUAUUUGGUACUUAAGGACCGUCAACAGUUGCCACAUAUCAGAGACAAGUAUGCAUCUCAAGAGUUCGAGAGUCUAAGUCAUUUGGUGUAGAGGAUUUCUGACCAAGAUAUUAAACCUUUUGAACCCAAGAGAGCAUGGAAUAAAAGGUGUCAUUUGUCGAUGAGGCAGCAAGCUCAGACUCUGACGAAGAACCAGUCAUUGGCUUGGCAGAGUGGGUAAAAAAUUAGAAACCGAUGUCUUGCCCUUUUGGGUGUAAAGAGCCAGAGAAGUUUGCAUUUGACAUCACCAAAGCCGAUAGGAUAUUUGACUUUCUACUUCAGGAAGGGCAAAUCAAGUUGUCAUCCAAUCAUGUGAUUCCAUCGGCUGAAGAAUUAAAAAACAUGAAAUACUACAAGUGGCACAAUGCAACAUCUCACAGCACAAAUGAGUGCAAGAUUUUCAGGCAACAGCUGCAAUCGGCUAUAGAAUCUAGGAGAAUCAAGUUUGAUAAUUCUAAAGCUCAGAAGCCGAUGAAGAUCAAUCAACAUCCUUUCCCAACAAAUAUGUUGGAUGCUAAGGGAAAAACCAAGGUCUUGACGUCAUUGGCAGCUGAAAGAAGCGCAUCGGUGGAUCCUCAACAUCAGAUUACUGCCGAUGACGCUAAAGGUAAGGGUCUGAUUCAGGAAGGAACCAGUUCAGGAAGGCCUCCCCGAUCUGGCAUUGUAAUAACUCAUAGGAGGCAUCGGGAGGCCUGGCAACAACGUGAAGAUCGGUAUCGGCGCCAACAGGAGGAUCGUCGUCUGGAGGAAGAAAGACACCGACAGGAGUGGAAUCGGCACAAAGAUCACUGGAACUGCCCGUUCUUUAUCCACUGUUGGGAGCAGAAUAUCAAACUGCUCACUGUCAGAGAUUGUCCUGAGUGCAAUGGUUAUGAUCGGUAUGAUAGACCUAAUCGGCAGUAUGAGAACGAUGAUCGGCGAUUUAAUGGGCCGAUUAGGGGGAGAGCUUCAGUUCAUGAUCGACUGGGGGGCAGGCUCAGUGUGCAUGACAGGCUAGGUGACCGUGUCGGGUAUUUUCCCAGAAAUCAAGAUGAGCUUGAAGAGAUGGCGAAUGCGCGAGUUCCCGAUGAGUUCGUACUUUACAAGGAUGCUAAUACUUAUCGAGUGGAAUCAAGAGGAGAUCGCUACCAAUCGGUAAGGCAGCCGCAACUUCCUCCGUGGUGUCCGAAGGGGCUGACUAGGACACAAAAGAGAAUGCUGCAGCGUGAAAGACGAGAAGAGCUGAGCAAAGGGGAGAAUUCUGCUAAGUCCGAAGGUCAGCAGCAGCCAGAUCCUAAAGGAAAAGGGCCAUCGGCAGAUGUUAAUAUGGUAUUUAUGUUGCCGAUGGAGUUCCUUGCGCCAUUAAGUGAUGACGAGGAGACAGAUUUUUCCGACCAAAUAGCUCAAUUGGCUCUGGAUCCAAUGACGGCUAUCUUUGAAAAGCCUGCCGAAAAUGAAAGGCAGCAUCUUAAAGCUUUGUUUGCCUAUGACCAAGAUACUUGUUGAUGGAGGGGCUGCUAUCAAUAUUAUGUCGUAUGCAGUUUAUCGGAAGCUUGGGAAAGGAGAUCAAUACUUAACCAAGAUCGAUAUGAUGCUGAAAGACUUUGAGGGGAAUGUGUCUCCGGUUAAGGGGGCAAUAUGUUUCGAGUUGACCAUCGACAACAAAACCUUGCCGACAACUUUCUUCGUUAUCAGUGGAAAGGGUGUUUACAAUCUAUUGUUGGGGAGAGAUUGGAUCCAUGCCAAUUGUUGUAUCCCGUCUACAAUGCACCAAUGUUUGGUUCAGUGGGUAGGUGACAAGAUUGAGAUUGUCCCUGGAGAUUCUUCAUACGUCAUUGCAUCGACAGAGACAGAUACUUAUGAGAGGACUAGAUGCAUCUCAGGAGAAAUUUGGGAGAAUGAUUUCCUCAAGGUUGCCGAUUACAAAAUUCCACCGAUCCAAGCAGUCGGUUCUGAUGAGUUUUAAUGGAUAGGUUCGCCGAUGAUGGAAAAUUAGGCCAGGGGUUUACAUCGGCCGAUGAUUUAGUAGAAGUAGAUGUAGGUAAUGGUGAUAGGCCAAGGCCUACUUUUAUUAGUGCUCAAUUAAAUUCUGAGUGUAAGCAACAGUUAACAGAUUUGUUAAAGGAAUAUAAAGAUUGCUUUGCUUGGGAUUAUACUGAGAUGCCUGGUUUGGACCGAUCUAUUGUUGAACACUGGUUGCCUAUCAAAUCUGGGUUUCGGCCACAUCAGCAACCAGCUCGCCGAUGUAAUCCUAAUGUUCUUCCUGAUAUUAAGGCCGAAAUAACUAAACUUAUCAAAGCUAAAUUUAUUCGGCAGUGUCGGUAUGCCGAGUGGAUUUCCAAUGUCGUUCCAGUUUACAACAAAAAUGGGAAGCUUCGAGUUUGCAUUGAUUUCAGGAAACUUAACAAGGCUACGCCGAUGGAUGGUUACCCAAUGCCAGUUGCCGAUUUGCUAGUUGAUGUUGCGGCUGGACAUUGGAUCAUAAGUUUCAUGGAUGGCAAUGCAGGGUAUAAUCAGAUAUUCAUGGCUGAAGAAGAUAUUCCAAAGACCGCAUUUAGAUGUCAUGGUCAUGUUGGGCUGUUUGAAUGGAUAGUCAUGACCUUUGGCUUAAAAAAUGCUGGUGCUACUUAUCAGAGGGCUAUGAAUUUUAUUUUUCAUGAGUUCAUCGGCAAGCUGGUAGAAAUUUACAUUGAUGAUGUGGUGGUUAAAUCUGGGGAUUUUACAAAGCAUCUUGCCGAUUCGCGAAAGGUGUUGGAGUGCACAAGGAAACAUGGUUUAAAGAUGAAUCCUAACAAGUGUGCAUUUGGUGUAUCGGCAGGGCAAUUUCUUGGUUUCAUGGUGCAUCAGAGAGGAAUUGAAAUUAGUAGGAGAUCUAUUGAUGCCAUCAACAAGAUAGUUGCUCCUACCAACAAAACUAAACUCCAGUCUUUGAUCGGCAAGGUAAAUUUUAUUAGGCAGUUUAUAUCUAAUUUUUCUGGUAAAAUUCAUGCUUUUAGUCCUUUACUUAAAUUGAAAGCCGAUCAAGAGUUUGUAUAGGGAAAAGAGCAACAAUUAGCCUUGGACGAAAUCAAGAAUUAUUUAACAAAUCCUCCAGUCCUGAUUCCACCUCAGUAAGGAAAGCCUUUCAGAUUAUAUUUGUCUACCAAUAGGUUGGUCAUCGGUUCGGCUUUGAUCCAAAAAUUUGAAGGGAAGGAGCGUGUGAUUUAUUGUUUAAGUAGAAGUCUGAUCGAUGCUGAGGCCAGGUAUUCGGCAAUUGAAAAAUUAUGUUUAUGCUUAUAUUUUUCAUGUAUCAAGUUGAGGCACUAUUUGCUAUCGGCCGAAUGCACUGUUAUAUGCAAAGAUGAUGUAGUCCGAUACAUGUUAUCUAUGCCGAUUAUGAGUGGUAGAAUCGGUAAAUGGAUUUUGGCACUGUCGGAAUUUGAUCUACGUUACGAAUCGGCUAAGGCAGUUAAAGGGCAGAUCAUGGCCGAUUUUGUGACUCAGCAUUGUGGUAUAGUGGAAACUUUGGAAAUUUUUCCUUGGACGCUCUUCUUUGAUGGAUCUACAUGUGACCGGGUGGCAGGGAUCGGCAUAAUACUAAUUUCCCCUCAGGGAAGGAAAUAUGAGUUCUCUUUGCCGAUUGUUGCCACGUCAACAAAUAAUCAAGCCGAAUAUCAAGCUUUGAUCAAAGGAUUGGAAUUAUUAAAAGAGGUUCGUGCUGAUGCUGCUGAAAUCUUUGGCGAUUCCAUGCUUGUUAUAAAUCAAUUUGCUGGAAUUUAUGAAUGUCGAAGCGAGGUCUUGAUAACCUAUUAUGCAAGGAGUAUGCAGCUAUUAAAGGAAUUCAAGGAUUUUCGAUUAGAGCAUGUUCCUCGAUUACAUAGUGAGGAGGCUAAUCGGUUGGCUCAGCAUGCCUAGGGGUAUCAACCCAUAUUCAACACGUUAUCAACAAUCUGCGCCGAUGAUUGGAGAAAGGAGAUAAUUGAUUAUUUAAAAGAUCCAUCUAAGAAGGUUGAGACACGUGUCAGGUUUCAAGCUACCAAGUAUGUGCUCCUUGGGGAUGAGCUUUAUUAUCGAACAAUAGAUGGAGUUCUUCUCAAGUGUUUGGGUGAUGGUGAGGCUAACAGUUUGAUGGGUGAAAUCCAUGAGGGAGUAUGUAGAGCGCAUCAGUCGGCCUUUAAGAUGAAAUGGAUGAUUAGGAGAAACGGGUAUUAUUGGCCAACCAUACUCAAAGAUUGCUUUAAAUAUUUCAAAGGAUGUCAAAAGUUUGGCAAUAUUCAAAGGGCACUCGCUCGGCCAUGAAUCCCAUUAUUAAACCUUGGCCGUUCCGGGGAUGGGCUAUUGAUUUGAUCGGCCAGAUUUACCCACCAUCAAGCAAAGGGCAUAAAUUCAUCUUAGUUGCCACUAAUUAUUUCACUAAGUGGGUUGAAGCUAUUCCUUUGAAGAAAGUAACAUCGGCUAAUAUAAUUGAUUUUGGGAAAGAACAUAUUGUUUACUGAUUUGGUAUUCCUCAAACAAUUACAACCGAUCAGGGUACUAUGUUUACAUCUGGAGAGUUUGAUGAAUUUGCAAUCGGUAUGGGGAUUGAAGUGUUGAAUUCUUCUCCUUAUUAUGCUCAAGCCAAUGGACAGGCUGAGGCGUCUAACAAAGGAAUUAUUAAACUCAUCAAACGAAAGAUUGAAGAAAAUCCUAGAAGGUGGCAUACAUUGUUGAAUGAAGCUUUAUGGUCAUAUCGGAUGACAUGUCAUGGGUCAACUAAAGUUUCACCGUAUCAAUUAGUGUAUGGACACGAUGCAGUGCUUCCAUGGGAAAUUAAGACCAAGUCUAGGCGACUAUGUUUUCAAGAUCAGCUGGCCGCCGAUGACUAUGCUACUUUGAUGAAAGAUGAGUUAGACGAUUUAGCAGGGCAUCGGCUGAGGGUUUUGAUAAGUAUAGAAGAAACUAAAAAGAGAGUUGCUAGAUGGUAUGAUAAAAAUGUAAAAGCUAAGGAGUUUGCCGAUGGAGAUUUGGUGUGGAAACUAAUAUUACCAAUUGGGACUAAAAGUUCAAAGUUUGGCAAAUGGUCUCCUAAUUGGGAAUGUCCUUAUCGGAUAAAUCGGUCUGCUCCUGGUAAUGCUUAUAUUUUGGAAACUCUCGAAGGACUUGAAUUUCCCAGAGCAUUGAAUAGAAAAUAUUUAAAGAAGUAUUACCCAAGCAUAUGGGUGUUGGGUAUUUUAAACGCAAAAAGAAAAAUCCGCAAGCGCACGGAUACCGAUGUAGCUUUCACCCGGGAGUAUUCCAGAGUAUCGAUUUUCUACAGAGAACGUGAGUGUACUAAUUAAGAUCCAAAAUCACCCAAGGAUAACUAUAUAAUUAUUUUUGGUGGGAAGAGAGGAAGUUUCCUGAGAGUUCUCUAGUUGAUCUAAGAAUCAAGAAUUACUUCAAGAUUAUCUAUAUCGGGACAUCAGAGCACUAACCACAGAAAGAGAUGAGAAGGGGGCUAGGAAGGUCUGACUAUGGUCCUACAAACACCAAUCCGAACGUGGUGGAAUACGUCGACCGUUAGGGCUGUCACUACCCUAGGGCUACCACAACAAUCCGCAGGAUUGGGUGCAAUUCCAGGUAAUUGCAAGACUAGACACCACGUCUAAUCUAUUAAUUACUACUCUAGCGUUAUAAAGACUAGAGCACUUGAUGCAAGCGGGAAUCCAAUAAAUAACUUGAAUGUAAAUAAUAGUAAUUAAAGAACUUAGGAUUAUGAAUUGAAGAACCUAGAGAACGAUGAAGAACGAACCAGAUGCUGCAAAAGUAUAAUGUUGAGGAAGAUCCGACAGAUCCGGCUCCUCCUCUGCUCUCCUCUUCUCUCUCCCUAUUUUCUAGAUUACAACUAGAACUAGAACUAGAGGAACUAGAACUAGAACUAGAUGAACUAGAACUAGAACUAGAUGAACUAGAGGUAGAACUAGAAGAACUAGAGGGAUCAUCUCUACUUGGAUGAAGAAUUGAAACCCUAACUUUGAUUCUGUAGAAGAGGUAUGCUCUCCAGGGGCCAGGGGGCCUUGCUUAUAUAGUCUUUUUCAGAUGAAUCUGGGCCGUCGGAUCGAACCGACAUCAAUCACAUGGUUUUCCUUGGUCCCUUAGGUCGGUGGAGCACGAUCCGCGAAGUUGAAGCUGAUUGGUUACUGUAGCUGGGCGGGCACCCAAGGGACUUGGGCGGGCGCCCUGCCCCCGGGCCCGAUCGGCCUCCUAUUCGUUCCUGUGGCUUCUGGAGUCUUCUAGAUGGUAGAAAAUUGCGCGGCACGUUAAUAUCUCUAUGUAAACCCGACGUGUGGGCCUUUCUUUCAUAUUUCCUGAUAACCCCCUGCAGAAAUAGACAAACACCAAAACUCGUGGAAUUCUGUCAGAUAAAACCCUAAGUCUAGGUGUUGGCUGCAUAUAAGUCUUUUUCCAUGAUUAGUUGAUGGUUAAUUGUGAGCAUUAAGGACCGUCAACAAGCUCCCCCAAGCUUAACCUUUGCUCGUCCCUAAGCAAAGAUGAACUCAAGAAUUUCUGCAGUGGUUUCAAUACAUGCGUUCAAACAAGAUCUCAUCUCUGGGUUAGGGUAAACUGUUAAGAUUUAAAUUUACUCACUUUCCUUCCACCAUGGGGCUUGCAACUGUCACUUGUGUCUUGAGUAGUUAAAAGAUAGAACGGUCUAGUCAAGCGCCAUGUCUCUUGUUCUUCGAUUAACUAUAGCUCUGGAGUUUUUGCAGAUUUUCAAAUAAAACUCAGAGAUUCCUUGUAUGACUCUCUCUAGUCUCUCUUUUGUGGUAUUUCUGGAUCCUUACCAAGGCAGUGAUGGUAUAUGCCUUCUCUCAAAGUAUGUGGUAUUUGUGGUAUAAGGCAUAGUGGCAUUGCCUUCUCUCUCACCCUACUCUAAUAAGGUUUUGAUAUCUGGAGCUCAUAGGUGGGAGACAGCUAAUACAUACUUACAAGACAUUUAUUGCAUAGUCAAACCAUGGAUCCAGAAGAACAAGUCAAUAAGUCAAAUCAAGAUGUGCAUGUGUGGCCAAUGAAUGGUGUAUGGUGAUGAUGGCGAUAACAAUAGUGAAAGUCUAAUUCUACUUGUGCUCUUUUGAGGGGAUACAUACCUUUCUUGCUCUUUUGAAACUUUUUGAGAAGAAUGAGAUGCUCUAUUUUCUCUCUUUUUUUUUCUUUUCUCUCAGGUGGGUAUCUUGUACCCCUAAUUCUACUAUCGGACACUUGUCUAUUUUUACCCCUCGUCUCACUUUUUCUUUUCUUUCGAGGUUCCGGGCACUUGCCCCUUUUUAUUUCCUCGUAUUCACUUUUUUUCUCUCUCUCUUCUUUUUUUAGAGCACUCAUCUCAUGAGAUAAUAUAGCAAGUGGUAGUAACAAGAUAACUUGAGCAUUUAUUUCACAGGGGAAAACAGAAAUGUUUUUGGCUAUUCUCUCCCGGAUUAGGAGUAGAAUAUUUUUGGGUGGUUCUGAAGAUGGAAAUGGGUGGAUAUAUGUGGAUGCGUACUUCUGGAGUAGAAGCAGCAUGUGUGAGUGAACGUGCAAGUGAAUCUUGACUUAACCACAUGACAAGCUCCUAAGGGUCUACACAGCUUGACCACACUCAAUGCUCAUAAGCGGUGAAAAGUAAAUGUAUGGCUUAAAGUUUAGCAAGCAUGUAUAUAUGGUUGUGGUAGGAAUUUAAACUCUCAUCAUACAGGAACUCAUCAUGCAACAUUUUAAAGAUUUUCAAAGAUAAAAUUCUCUAGAAUUCUAGCAUCUCUAGGAACAGAUAAACAGCAGCUCAACCUUCCCAUAUCGUAUCCGUUAACGUCUUAGACUUUAGAUCAAGUACUCUUCCCACAAGUUCAGGUUUAGAGCAAAUCUUAAUUAAUAACAGUCAUGCCUAAACUUGAGAGAGAUUUCAAUUUUGAGAACUAGUCAUGGCAGAGCAACUAUUCAUCAUUUCCAUGUGAGAGCUUAUCAUGAUGGUUCAUAGCAAACUUUAAUUAUUUAUUUAUUUAGCAAACUAAGCGAAGAUAUAUAAGCACAAACUCUUUAUUUGGGUUUUUAUGAUUAUGCAUCUUUUUAUUAUUUGAGUAAAGUAUAAACGUGAGUAGAAACACUUAGCUGGAUAAAUGGGAGUGCUCUCCCCCAAGCUGGAUUUUGACGAAGUUUCUUCUGAUGUAGCUAGCAGGUGGCGGAGGUGUAUUUGAAUGUCAGCAGCACCCUGACAGUGAUUAGGAUGUCCUCCGUCUACUAGUCUUCUUUGAUCCUUGAAUUCUGUGGAGCUCAAAUAGACAACAAAGCUUUGUGGAACUAGUUAAGUGUUAGCAUAAAUAUCUAGCCUUUAUCAUGUUGAGCCUCCUUAAUAAAUGUUACUCUCUUUAGUAGGAUCAUAAAUCUAUUUUUAUAUUUCCAUUUUUAUAAGACAGGAAUAUAUUUAUUUUAUUUUUAUGCCACCACAGUGAAUGUACUUAUGGGUUUUAUGCCAUGAGCAUACUCACAUGGGGCUUACUAUUUUUAACAUUUUUAUUUUCUUUUUCAAGAUGAUAUGAACCUGAUUAACUAAGCAAACUAUUUUAAAAUAAUUGAAAGGAAAAGGAUAACUACCAAGUUUACCUCUUGGCAAGGCGUUCGGUGCUUUUAAGUCCUCCGAACGGGACUCUCCGUUUUCUCAGUCGUCCUGGGAUUGGCUGGAUGGCGUAGUCAGUGGUUCCGGUGGAGCCUGCUCUUCAUGUAUAACUAUCUUUUUUCUCCACACCUGACUCGAUGCUACGGUCUCCUCAGGACAGUUCUGUUCAAGUUAUAUGUCUUCAGACCUUACAACUUCUCCAUCAUAGUCUACCCAUCCAUCCUUGAUGAUUUUGCCUUCUCUGGUUACGGUUGCGUCGUUUUCUUCUUGUCCUGACCUGCUUAGAAUCUUCAACUAUAUAGUUAGGGUCAGUAAAAUAGCGGCAUACCUUGUUAGAGGGGAAGUGCAUGUGGACUUCUCUGGUUCCAAUCUAGAUGAUUGCUUUAACAGUGCUGAGGAACGGUCUUCCAAGGAUGAUGGGUGGAUCGUGCUCGUCUUCUCCCAUGUCAAUAACCUUCAACCUUUCGGAAUGUCUGAUCUUCCAUCUAGAGCUAAAUGUAUAUCGGUUUUAGGGGUAUGGUUCCGAACAGGAGUUGAUAGGUGACUACGGCCAUUAUGUUGACGCUUGACCUGGUGUCGCAAAGCGUCUUGUGGAAGUUGUAUCUAUUAAUGGAGCACUGGAUGCUUGGGAUACCAGAGUCAUCCUUUUUGGUCAGGGACGGUGAUUUAAGUCGACGAUCUUGACCUCCUUGAACUGCAGUGACCAUCUUAGCUGACUUGGUCCACAUUUGCUUGUUCUUGUCCCUCCUGUUGGUCCUCUUCCUUGGUUCAUGUAGGGAUUGCUCUGAGAUUUGUGUAGUCUUGUUCUUGAAGGAAAACGUCUCCUUCCUUCCCUUGAUGUAGAAACUGAUCUUGGCAGCACUAAUGUACAUGAUAGCUCCCGAGGUGUUCAGGAAUGGCCUCCCUAAGAUGACGGGUGCCCUCUCAUCAGUACCAGUCUCUAUCACCACGAAGUCUGCUGGAGCAUAUAAGGUACCAACUCGGACGUAGAGGAUCUUCAAUAUUCCCUUUGGGAAACUUAGUGUCCGAUCUGCAAGCU